UACGUAGGGUGCGAGCGUUAAUCGGAAUUACUGGGCGUAAAGCGUGCGUAGGCGGUUCGUUAAGUUCGUUGUGAAAGCCCCGGGCUCAACCUGGGAAUGGCAAUGGAAACUGGCGGGCUGGAGUAUGGCAGAGGGGGGUGGAAUUCCGCGUGUAGCAGUGAAAUGCGUAGAGAUGCGGAGGAACACCGAUGGCGAAGGCAGCCCCCUGGGCCAAUACUGACGCUCAGGCACGAAAGCGUGGGGAGCAAGCAGG
rnacentral:rRNA from 1 species